AACGAACGCUGGCGGCAUGCCUAACACAUGCAGGUCGAACGAGACCUUCGGGUCUAGUGGCGCACGGGUGCGUAACGCGUGGGAACCUGCCCUUAGGUUCGGAAUAACUCCCCGAAAGGGGUGCUAAUACCGGAUAAUGUCUUCGGACCAAAGAUUUAUCGCCUUUGGAUGGGCCCGCGUUGGAUUAGCUAGUUGGUAGGGUAAAAGCCUACCAAGGCGACGAUCCAUAGCUGGUCUGAGAGGAUGAUCAGCCACACUGGGACUGAGACACGGCCCAGACGACUACGGGAGGCAGCUGUGGGGCAUGUUGGACAAUGGUCGCGGGCUUGAGCCAGCAGUGCAGCGGGAGUGAUGAUGGCGUUAGGGUGGGAAGGCGCUUGUGCCCGGGCUGAUCAUGACGGGGCCGGGAGAAUAGGCUCCGGCGAGCGCCGUG
rnacentral:rRNA from 1 species